rnacentral:rRNA from 1 species
CACCGCCUACGGGGGGCAGCAGUGGGGAAUAUUGGGCAGUGGGCGCAAGCCUGACCCAGCAACGCCGCGUGAAGGAAGAAGGCCCUCGGGUUGCAAACUUCUUUUGUCAGGGACGAAGCAAGUGACGGUACCUGACGAAUAAGCCACGGCUAACUACGUGCCAGCAGCCGCGGUAAUACGUAGGUGGCAAGCGUUAUCCGGAUUUACUGGGUGUAAAGGGCGUGUAGGCGGGGGAGCAAGUCAGAUGUGAAAUUCCAGGGGUCAACCCUGGAACUGCAUUUGAAACUGUUUUUCUUGAGUGAUGG